rnacentral:rRNA from 1 species
GACGUAGGGUGCGAGCGUUGUCCGGAUUUAUUGGGCGUAAAGAGCUCGUAGGCGGCUCGUCGCGUCGGCUGUGAAAUCCCGUGGCUUAACUGCGGGCUUGCAGCUGAUACGGGCGGGCUAGAGUUCGGUAGGGGAGACUGGAAUUCCUGGUGUAGCGGUGAAAUGCGCAGAUAUCAGGAGGAACACCGGUGGCGAAGGCGGGUCUCUGGGCCGAUACUGACGCUGAGGGGCGAAAGCGUGGGGAGCGAACAGG